rnacentral:rRNA from 1 species
GACGAACGCUGGCGGCGUGCUUAACACAUGCAAGUCGAACGAGGUCCAACCUUCGGGUGAAGACCUAGUGGCGAACGGGUGCGUAACACGUGAGGAACUUGUCCCGGUCUCUGGGAUAACAGUUGGAAACGACUGCUAAUACCGGAUGACGUCGGAGCGUCGCAUGGCGCGCUGACGAAAGGGUUACUGGAUCGGGAGAGCCUCGCGGCCUAUCAGCUUGUUGGUGGGGUAACGGCCACCAAGGCAUCGACGGGUAGCUGGUCUGAGAGGAUGAUCAGCCACACUGGGACUGAGACACGGCCCAGACUCCUACGGGAGGCAGCAGUGGGGAAUCUUGCGCAAUGGGCGAAAGCCUGACGCAGCAACGCCGCGUGCGGGAAGAAGGCUCUCGGGUUGUAAACCGCUUUCAGAAGGAACGAAACUGACGGUACUUUCAGAAGAAGGUGCGGCCGAACUACGUGCCA